UGAGACCCUCCCUCCGUUUCGCUCCGCUCUGGGUUUCUUCGACCGCUCCACGCCCAAGAAAAGGCGGCAGUCCCCUCCCAAGCUCUCCCACUCAAAACCCCGAUAUUUUCCAUCCGGAGGCCAAUGGCCGCCGCCGGCGAUCAGGCUGCUCGACAUCAACGACGGCGACCGUCUUGUCUUCGCCCGCCUCUCCCCCGCCGCGACUUUGAGAUUGGGAACCAGAAAUGCUUCUUGAGCCCCUUGAUCGGCUGCCCAUUUGGAUCGUUGAUCCGAGUGGACAUCGGCCCCAAUGGUCCUCAUCUGGCACGCUGCGCUCCUUCCACUGCCUUGAACCACGGAUUAUUCAAGCACCAUUUCUGAUCUCUGUUCUUCACAAAACUUUGACCAUGGAAACUCCAAACCACAUGAGAAUAUCCAUUCUUCAGGAAUACAAUCACAUAAGAAUGUGCUUCCAAAAGCUUAAUAUCUUUACCUGAUGAUCAAGUUGUCAGGUAUGGAGAUUCUUUGCAGGGCACAUUCAUGUUCUGCGAUCAUCGUAGACUGCAGAGAUAAGACAACACUUCUACAGUUUGCAAGUCAAUUAAUCAAGGGAGGAGAGCAUCCACCAGAAAUCAUGAAGUUAUGGAAAUAAACAGGCCUUAGGAGCUUGAUAGUUGCUGCUCCAGAACUGGAGGUGGGGAUCUUAGUUCAAGAUCUGCGGCCUCUUUUAUCACGUUCUGCACCAUUUGCAGUUUAUGGCCAGUACCGUCAGAGACUGCAAACUUCAAGAAUGGCCAUUGUUUUGCAAAUUUCAGAUUCUUGGCUUCGUGAAUAUCAGGUCAGACUUUCUAUUGUGGUUGAAAUACAGAGCCAUUAUCCCACUGUUAACAUGGCUAUUUUCAGACCUUUUGUAAUAAUGCCCCCUCACGAGUAGAAAGCAUUUUUCAUGAGCUCUCUUGUGUGAAGCCAUCCAGUCACUUUUUGCUAUUCUUCUGAUUUUCCUCUGAUCUUCAUCCGCAAAACAACCAUAGAGAGGCCUUCCAAUCACUCAGGUCAAGUUGUUAAAAUAUGGGAAGUUUAUAGGCCAUGCUGAUUCAAUAACAUGCUUCUCUACCAUUAUGCAAUGAAACUUCAUACUUGUUUUCUUGUGUUAAUUCUAGCAGACAUCAAUCAUCCAACAGAGUUUGUCUGGGAAAGAAAAACUGGCUAGUUUGGCUUGUAAUGCUGUAAGGGUUUUUUUUUUUGGGAUGUUUCUAUAUCUGUUGGACCAAUGCAUAAAGCCUUCAAGUGAAAACAAGGUUCUUGACUUAAAGGUAGGAAACUUGCAAGUUAUCAUGUGUCAAGUUCAGCUAAAGCUGCCAAGCAGUUGAUUCCCACUCACUGUUGUGAGAUUAUAUGCUCCUUUAUGCUCCAGAUCAUGUUUCUACUCGUUUUUCUCCCCUACAUUUUUGUUAUGACGAUUAGAA